GGCUUCGUAGCUGGUUUUUGUGAAUGUUUUGUUUUGUUUUUAUCGAUUUUUAUGAAAUGCAUUAAAUCCGUAUUAUGAUUGAGGAUGUUUUUAGGUUAGCAUGAUCUACAGGCGUUGAAUUUAGUAAUCAUUGAUUGUUGGAGUUUAUUCGUGAAUGGAUGAUACAAAUCUCCAUUUCGUGUUCUUUGUUGCGUCAAUUCUCAUAUGUGCAGG
rnacentral:lncRNA from 1 species